UACGUAGGGGGCGAGCGUUGUCCGGAAUCAUUGGGCGUAAAGCGCGUGUAGGCGGCUUGCCAAGUCCGAUGUGAAAUCUCGGGGCUCAACCCCGAAACUGCAUUGGAAACUGGCUUGCUAGAGUCCGGAAGAGGAGAGUGGAAUUCCUGGUGUAGCGGUGAAAUGCGCAGAUAUCAGGAAGAACACCGGUGGCGAAGGCGGCUCUCUGGGACGGAACUGACGCUGAGACGCGAAAGCGUGGGUAG
rnacentral:rRNA from 1 species